GAUGGUGAGUAUUAUGGCAAAAGUAAAGAGAUAGUACCCGAGGAUCAAGAAUCGGAGUACUCGGAACUCGAUUUCCAUUACAGUGAGUAACCUUACUAUCAUCUUAAUUAUCUAAAGUGGUUUUUAUCCGAUUUUGUGAUUUUAUGAAAAAUGAGUUAAAUGGUAAAUCUUUGUGUUUUGUAAUUAAAAUGUGAUUUAAUGAAAUGGUUUUAUAACAUUGUCUUGAAAUGAAAUGAUGGUUUGAAAAUAGAGUAAUUGGAGAUCGUUUUCAAGUGUUGUAAAUUCAUGGUUUAAAUUGAAUGGCUUAUGACAAUAUUUGCAUGAAUGGCUAAAUUGGUAUUUGUGUUGAAAUAUAUAAACUGUGUAUUUAGCCUUGAGAGGCUGGAUUGUGAUAUAAUUGCCAGGUCAUGCGGUUGAGAUUUUAUUGAAUUGGUGGGUUUAGCUUGCUGCAGUGGGCAGGUUCCGUGGACCAGCCUAUUAGAGGGGCACGGUAACCCCGUUAUAUUCUUACCUCGGUCGAAAAGGCGUGUAGGGUAACUCCCGAGGUACAUCUUUAGAGUUUACUUCAUGCCAAACCACCACGUGAGGGUGAACUCAGCCAACGCCAAGGAACAGCUAUGUUUUCAAAAUAAAAAUAUGAUUUAUGAGUACAUGACUUUGGGAUUCGGUUGGGAUAGCCCCAAGCCAAGGUAUCCCUGACAACCGAGUAUGAGAAUGAUUUUGGCAUGAGCCAAAGUUUUAAGAAAUUCAUAAGCCAUGUUGAUUACUCAAAUUAUAUGAAUUGAUUUUAUUUGGUUGAAAUGAGUUGAAAGGUGAUGAAUUACAGUUGAUGAUCUAUUUUAAUCUGUCUCCAUUUACUCAGCUUUAGAUAUUUUAGGUGGUAUUUGUUUACUAACUGGGAUUAUAUAAUCUCACCACCCUCCUUUCCACCCAUUUCAAGCUCAAGAUAGUCGGUAGAUAGCUCACUUUGUUGAGGGCUACAGUUGGACUUGCAUCCUCAAAAGCUGUAGGUUUAUCGCUUUUGAUACUUUUGGUCGUUCGUGGGCCCACAUGUUACUGUAAAUUAAAUUUUAUAAUUUGGUUAUUUGUAUUACAGUAUGUAUGAAUUUAUUUAGCUUUUAUGCUAUAAAAAUUAUUUACCGGUAACUCUAUAAAUAUUAUUUUACAAGAAAAUAGAAUGUAUUAUUGAAUAUUUAUAUUAUAUUUAAACAGUUAUAAUUUCAAUUUAAAUGAAUGUUUUAGAUAUCUAAACUUAUUUUUGAUUAUGAAAUAUGUGUUUUCCACUCGCAUACUACAUUUUUAGCUGGUUUCGAGACUUUUGAGAAAAAAUGACCAAAAUGCCCCUGUGAGCAAAAAAUUAUUUUUCUAUUGUUUUGAUUUGGAAAUAGUUUAUAAUCUCUCAAAACAUGAUACUUAACAACUGUUGCUCACAGGGGAGGUGCGAAAACUGACAUUAAAGCCUUACGGGGUUUUGGUUGACAUUUUGAGUAAUGAAUGUGUAUCGGAACAUCGCAGCGGUUGUCACGAGCUCGAUGAGAGUACCAGGUCAUGACAAUUAGAGUGGUAUCAGAGCUUUUGGUUUUAAAAAUUAGAGCUUUUGGGUUUAAAGUUGUUUUAAAGUUGUUUUAAAAACUACAAUGUCAGUGUGGCCCAAGUUAAGUUAAGUUAAGUUAGGUUUGAUAGAAUAGAAUACGUCCAUCUGCAUAUAGAAUUUGGAGUUGUUUAGACUCGUUCUAUUUCUUCUUAUAGAUCUUAUGGGAGCUAUGUGAACUUCUGUUCCCAAUAAUCCAUUUCCUUGUUAAUGUCAUGCAAAGGUCAUAAGUAGGGCCGUUGUUCGGGUUUAAGAUGCCACCCAUGACACGAGCCAGUGUUAGAAAGAUCUUAAAAUGAAUGCUCCUAAUGAAAGAUUAAUGAAAUGAUAUAUCCCUUCGAUUAAGGAUGGAGAAAUUUGGAGUUGGACUAAUAGGCCGUGAUAAUUUAUUCAAUUGGUGGAGUUAUAAUUGAACUCAUGGUUGUCAAUUGGAAAAAGAUUUGGGGACUAUGGACUAUAUAGGGGUUAAAAUAAAAGAGCACGUGUGAUAAUGGUAAUAAGGGGUACACUUUAAUUAGAAUGAAUAGUGAUGGUUGUAAUUCACUUGGAAUGUAUAAAUUAAGCAUUAAGGUAAGAGUAAACCCAUACUUAUGUGCAUGAAGAUAAGAACACUAUGUUAAUUGAGCUUGUUAUGCCCAUAUAAAAGUGGUGUUGGGAUUUUGAAAUAUUUUAUAUGUGAAUAUGUGUUGAAUAGGUACAACAACUUAGAGGGAACUGGUGUUGAUUUCAAUUAAGUGAUUGUGAGAUUUCAAGAAUUGAUUGGACCUAUUAUAGUUCAUGGAUAUAAGCACAUGAAUUAACUCAAGAGUGAGUAUCAAUGAUUAUUAUAAUUGAUGUGUAGUCAUGAAGUAAGAAGUUAGUAAACAAAUCUGCUCUAAGAAUGAGCUUGAACUUUGCUAUGCAUAGUAGGGGGAGCCAAAGGAUUAAAGGACUAGAUGUGGAAUUAGCAGCUUGAGGUUAAAUGACUUGGAAAUGUCGAAUCUAGUCUAAGUGCCAUAUAAAGUUCUAUAAUUAAGACUAAUAUACGAAUUACUUGAAAGAUCAAUUUAAAAGUUUAUUCGGUUCAAAGUGUGGCCUAUGAUACGAAUGAUCAGUCUUGAAGGUGAUCUCCCCAUCGUAGGAAUUUAGAAAAUAUUGAUGUUUGGAUAUACUCUAAGAGAGAGAACUUCUGCAUCCUAAGUUUAGAACAACUUUGAUCUUAUGAUCACAAAGGCAAGGUGUAAUAACUAAGUAAAUUAUUCACUUAAUAAAUGUGAUUGGUUAUUGAUGAAUAAAAUCAAGAUCUUAACAUUUGGUGGUAUACAAUUUGAUAAUUAUGCAUUUAAGAGUUAUUUGGAGACAAUUCCUUCAUCAAAUUUGCACUAAAUGCUAUGGUAAAGGCAUAUCAAUGCUAAUAUGGAAAUGUAUCCAGGAAUGAUUUUAACAUACCACCAAAGGAGAAUUAAACAUGUUGAAAUUAAUGUUCUAAUAGUGUGCAUAUGAUAGAAAGCUAAUUUGUAAGUUGUAGUUUUCAUGAUCAUGAAAUAUAUAAAGAUUAUCAAUAUAUGGACAUACACUUGGAGUAUUUACAAGUUUGGAGUAUUUAAGAUAUAAUUAAAUGGAAUUAGCAUUAGUUAAGGUACGUAAAUCUUUUAAUUAAUUUCUGUGGAGUAUGCAUGAUAGUAGAAUAGAGGAACAUAAUGCCAUGAUAUUAUAUGGUGAAGUUACUAUACAAUAUGAAAAGAGUAUUCUAAAGUGGGAUUUAUUGAUUGUUGACAAGUGUUAUAGGAUGAGAUGAAUUUGAAAAUAUCGACUUUACCUGUUAUAUGUGAUAAGCACAAGAGGAUAUAAAUGGUUAUGGAAAUUGUGACGUAAGCUUGGAGGGAAACCAAACGGUUGAGAAUGAUUAGUGUAGUAACCUUAAAUAUAGAUGACUAACAUUGAUUAAGUAAACUCUAACAGCCACCGUGCCGUGGUGCUAAGAACACUUCAUGUCUAGGACGCAUGAAUAAAAUGAGACAGAUGUGAAGUUGAACUUACAAGUUGACCUAAAGUCAUUGAACUUGAUUCUAAGUUUUGUUAAUUGGAGUUUUAAGGUUUUGGAAGGUAUCGAUAUGAAUGAGUUAAAGCUGAAAUAGUUAAAGGCAUUCCCUUCGGGGGGGGGGGGCGGGGAAGCAAAAGGUCUGGGGUUCGAAACUUGGCGAGAAGGUCCUACAAGGCCUGUCGUGCCGCCCUUAGGCGCGGGGUUUCGAGUAAGUCAAGUGAUGGGGAUCCAAACAUAAUAAUACCUUAGAGUGGGCCCCGAAAGGGAUGCCACAUAAACGGCUAAGUCACGAGUUAAGUGAUCACCUGUUGUGAGACAUAAGUUUAAGAUAGAUAUCCCCAAGGAAAUACUCAAGAGAAGUUCUGCCAUGGAUCUCGUGAAAGCAAGCAUUAAGUUAUGUGGUUAUAAAAAAGGAAGCUAUAAGCUGAGAGUGAUACUUGUAUUGACAUGGAAAAGUACUUGAGGAGAAUCUAGUUUCAAGUCUUGUAAUUUCAAUUACAAUUUGUAAAUUGGUUAAGGAAGAAUGAUGUUAUAUUCGUAUGAAAGAGUGGAACAAAGGAUGAUUGAAGUUGACCUUGAUAAUGAAGUCAGAUAAUGAAACUUUCCUAAUAUAUUAUGGAAAAUUGGAAUUUGAAAAUGCUUGAGGCAUACAUGAUUCAAAUGGGUCUGAGUCUUAAGUGACAAAUCAAUAUCCGAAUGCAAAAAAGAUACAAGGUAAUGUAGAGGCAUAAAGGAUAAUCGAGGAAAAAGGAUGACUCUUAGGAAUUUUGGUAUUGCAUAAGAUGCAAUGAUCAAGUUAAGAUAAAUCUUUGAGGCAUCAAUGGGAUUAUAAAGCAUACACGCAUAAUAGAUUAUAAUUCAAUGGAGAUGACAUUGUGAUGCAAUGAUAUAUAGUACAAGGAAACUUAAGCAUAUAAUUGGAAAUGAUAAGAAUAGAGUAUAAGAUGUGAAACUAUGCACAGGCAUGAUGAUAAUUUGUAUGAAUUAUGAAGAUUAUUCUAUUGAAUCUUGGUUAUGGUUGGGAAUGAACAAAGAGAAAUUAGUUUGAAGGUAUUUGAAAACAAAGACCCGUAUACUUAAUAAGGAAUAUGGACAUUUGAAUGUGCAUGUAUACGUGUGUGUGGAGUUAGUGAUGUACCCAACUAAAAUAAAGAAUGGUUUUAAUGGUUCAAGAUUUGAACUCAAUAUAUUUGAUGAGUUGUAUAGAUAAUGUAACGAUCAAGAAUCUUAUCAAAAGUCGAUUUAUGGCGACCUAAGGAAUUUUGGGAAAAUAGUUAAGGGAAUGUAAUCUAUAGUGUGAUUAAGCCAUAUGAGAUGGAUUAAUAGGAUUAAGAAGAUUGAAAUUUCCUAAAUGCAAGGUAAAUAUGAAGUAUGUGGAAAUAAUUGAAGCCAUUAAUCUUCCCUAACGCUGAGGAUAUGUACAGGAAUGGGUAUGGCAUGUUAAUGAUGUCGUAAACUACACAACAGUGUAUGAGGAUAGGAUGAAUGAAUGAAAGUCGAGAAAUUUGAUAUGGAAUGAAGUAAUAAGUUAGUGAUUGGUAUACCUAAAUAAGUAUAAAAUGUGAUCGAAAUUGGUAUGAUUGAGAUAGAGUUAUGGUUCAAGUUUAAUGAUAGUAAUAGAAGCAUGUUUGGUGUCUCGAUAUAAGAGAUCAUAAUUGUAAAGGUUACUGUUGAUCUAAUUUUAAAGGAUAAUAAUAGACAUAAGUGAAGUACUCAAGUUAAAUUGGAGGUAAAUGAGGUGAACAAAUCAAAAUUGCCUAUAAAAGGGGAGGACAUAAGAAGUGGAGCAUUAUAUGAGAAAACAAUACCCCUACCUUUUCUCUGAGUUUAGUAAAUAAAAUUUUGAGGUCAAAAUUUUAUUUUAAGAGGGGUAGUGCUGUCAAGCCUAGCUCUACAAUAUGUUUAUUAUGCCAUUCCUACAUAAGAAUGCAUGUUUGCUUAUUUGGGUACCUCGAAAAUCGUUAAAAGACGGUAUUAUACCAAAUGGUACAAUCAAGUUAAUUUAAGCCUCGAACUAGUCCAAAUAGAGAUUUUAAGAUGAAAUUGAGAAUUUAGAAACCCUAGAAUGACUUAAAAUGGUAAUUCGAAGUUCGAGGACCGAUUUAUAGUCAAAUUAGAAUUUUCAUGACCAGGGGUAAAAUGGUCAUUUUGCCACCCAAGGUUAAGAUGUGAGUGUUGGAUGAAAUUUUUGGCUAAGAUUGAUCAUUUGGAGUAUAAUUUGAGUUUGAGAAGUGAAAAAUUUUAAUUCCGGCAUUUUUUCGAGCAUAAGGGCAAAAUAGUCAUUUUACCACCCUUAGGGUAAAAUUGUAAUUUUACACCACCGAACACUUGUCCAGCACAUGAAUUUCACUCAUUAUUAUCAUGGAUAAUUGAAGGAUUUUAUGUGGUGGAGAAAGAAAGCUUAAUAGUUAAGAAUUUAAAAAUGGACCAAUGGAAUGGUGACAAGUGUCAAGCUUUUAUUUCUUUAUUAUUUUCCUUAUAAAUUAGCACAAAACCAGCCCAUUUCUCUUCAUUAUGGCCAGCCAAAGCAAGAACAAAGGAAGAAAAGGAAGAACAAAACCUAGGUGGAAAAAUUCAAGAGAAAUUGACAAAAUUUCAAAGAAUCAAGUGACAAAAGUUAAGAUUUUUCAAUUCUAGCUUGUGAUUUACCUUUCCUAUGCAUUCUUUUUCAUUUUCCAUGGUUGAGAAUCAAGUUUGCAUGAGGAUACCCUUGCUGGCCGGACAUGGGGGGAGGAGUUUUGAACUUGGAUUUGGUUAGAUUUCAAUGUAUUUUAGUGGUUUUAGUUAGUUAGUGAUGUGUAGCAUGAAAAACAAAUAAGAAAAAUUCAUGUUCUUCCAUAACCCAUCAUAGGCCGAAUUUUCCAUGUAGAGUGUGGAUGGUGGAUUUGAUUUUAUUUCAAGUGAAUUGGUUAGGAAAUUAUGAAUUACGGUGAGAAAAUCAAGUAGGAAAAAUCAUGGUGUUGAUGCACCCACCAUGGCCGAAAUUCCUAAGAGAAAAUGUGACAAUGAUUUUGCUAAAUUUUAUGCUAUUUGACUUGUGUUUGAUGGUUUGAAGAAUUGGAAUAAAAAUGGAGUUAAUUGGAGUUGAAUUGGACAUAUUGGCCAAUUAAUCGAGUGAUAAAUCGAAUUAGGCAAAUACCGUUUUAUUUAGGUACACAAUUGAAUUUGUGUAGAACACCGUGUUUAGACGAUAAUCCGAACAAUUUACAUCCCAUUUCAUGUAUUAGUAUAAAGCCUGAAUUGGUUUUAUAACAAUUUAGCACAAUUGUAGUAAAUGGCUUUGUGAGACCUCAACCCCUAUAGGCUCAUAACUAUGCAUAGACGCAAUAACACGGGCCAGGGGUAGUUUCAUUAUUUUUUCUAAAAAGUACCCAUAAUAGGGUUUUAUGGUAUUUUAAGGUCUAAUAGGCAUAAUAAGAUAUUUUGGGUGCCAAGGAGAGAAGAGGAGGCAAGAGGAAAUUUUUGGAAUAAAAUAAUAUUAAAAUAUUAAUAUUUUAUUCAAUGUCAAAAAUUUUAAGUUUUCGUAAACCCGAGUAGUUUAGAUCAUUGUAGACCUUGUCCCAGUAUCAAAAGAAUAAAAAGAUUGUACAAAAGAUGGGAGAAAAACAAGUUAACUUGCUAAACGGGCAUUUUUAUAAUUUCCAAAAGAAUUGGAUAAGCUUGGACUAUAAGCUUCUUGCUUCUAGUAGCUUCUCACAUAUUUUCCAGCAGGUUUUCUCUUUCUUCUUCUUCUCCUUUUCAUGUUGCUUCCAUCCUCUAUGGAAGCUUGAUAUCAAGCUUUAUAACCUCUCCCAAAAUAGCUUAAAUUUUCAUGUUUCGAUGCACCCUUUUAUGGAAACUAUGUGCUCUUCCAUUCUCUCACUUCCAAACCCUUGAAAAAAUCUUGUUUCCAUGCUUUCUCUCACUAUUUAGGUGUUUAGAGAGAGAAAAAAAAGAAAAAAAAAGCCCUAUAAUUGCUUGCGAAUUGUUGGAAAGAAUUUCAAAGUUUCAAAACCAUCAAGGUGAGUAGUAAAUUAGCAUUUGGUUCUAAGUGUUGAUAAUGUUUAGUGAUUGAUUUAUGGAUUUAUUGUUGAGGUUGUGUAUUGACUUUAUUGUGACUAGGAUAGUGGGAAUAGAUAGCCAUUUAACAUGGCAAUUGAAAGCUAGCUAAGGGGUAGCUUUUAGGGUUUAUAAGUAUGAUUUGACAUUAUGGUGAUGUUAAUUUGAUGGUAGGUUCCAACGAAGCCUCAUUAUCCCAAUUGGACCAUUAGGGGAGUUAGGAUCGGGUAAAGGCUUAAAUAAUACCGGUGAGUGAACUUGCAUUUCAAAAAUCAUUUUGGGAGACAUAAUUGUAUUGGUAUGAAACAUUGAAUGAUUUAUUCGAACUUGUCUUUAAAAACAUGUGCCUUGGGAACAAGCCUUUGACAAAAUAUUUUGAUGUUGUGAAAAUGUGAAAUGUGUAAAAGAAUGGACCUAUGUGCUCCUAUACUGUGUUGAUAUAUGUAUAUAUGUGUGUGUAUGAAUAAUCUUGUGUGAUGAUGAUGACCCGGCUAUGUGCGAGUAGGGAGUGUGCAUAAGCCGAUGAUGAUGAUGAUGAUCCGGCUAUGUGCGAGUAGAGAGUGCGCAUAGGCCGAUGAUCAUGAUGACCUGGCUAUGUGCGAGUAGGGAGUGCACAUAGGCCGAUGAUGAUGAUGAUCUGACUAUGAUGAUGAAUGAAGUGGGAUGGUGUAUUUGUUGAUAUAUGUUUAUAUAUGUAUAUGUGAUAGCAAGUUUAUGAUUAUAAUAUGUGAUUGUUUUGAAUGUAGAUAACUUGAUUAUUGCCGAUGUGUUCACUUUGAUGUGCAAUAUGGUAGGGAUGGAUUUUGUGGCAUGUGAAAACCCCUUAUUUGUCAUUUGCCCCGAAUCUCGUUGCAGCGAAAAUAAAUCUCGCCGUAGCGAGAAACUCUCAGAUUUUGGUGCAAUGCUUUCACUUUGAUGAAGAUUUUGACAAUCUUCCUUUCCGAACUGGGAAAAAUGGUAAACAUAAAAGUUGUAGCCCUGCCUCUUAGCUUUCUAAUGAUCUAACAAACAUGUCAAUUAGACCUAUGUAGUGGAAUAUAUACUUGAAAAACUGAACCAUAUGCAAACCGAGAAUGCCUUUUUCUGCAGUGAGAAACGUGCUGUCACGUUGCUACCUUACUCGGGUUCUGAUAUAAUUUCCUCCACUCCCUUAUCUUCAUGAUUGAGCAUGCAUCUUUGCAAUACUAAGAGUCCAUUGAUCACUGACCAAAACAAGGGGGUUUAGGAAAGAAAUUAUACCAAAUUACAUUGUUUUCAAAACAAGUGCAUCACGAUUUCCAAAUUCUUCCUUAUCAAUUGCUUGUUCCCUUCCUUGUUCACUCACUGGGUUUAUACUCACCGUUUUCAACUUCAUGUUUUCAGAUCAUGAGAUAACUAGUAGCUAAGUCCAGGUGUCUUCAUACAUUCGACCCUUGGUAAGUGUCUCGGCAUUCAGUAUCUGUAUAUUCGUCUGAGUCUCUCCGCUGGCAGUCGAAUACUCUUUUUGUUGUGUAUAGGUAAACCCAAUGUAAAUUAUUAAGCUAUAUGUUUAGACAAUGUAUGUAUAUUUCAAUGAGUAAGCCAUUAAGAGAUGGCAAUGUCUAUCACUAUUUUGACUGAAAGUUAUGAAAUGUGACUUAGCAAUAUUGAUGGAAAAAUGAACAGGAUAAUAGAUAGGCUUGCUUGGGCUUAAUGGACUAUGUUCAUUGGGCCCUUGCGUCGGUCAUGGCCCAAAAUUUGGAUCGUGAUAGGCUUAUUAUGCAUUACGUCUAGGUGGUGAGCAUUCUGGAAAAAGUAAAGAGAUAGUACCCGAGGAUCAAGAAUCGGAGUACUCGAAACUCGAUUUCCAUUACAGUGAGUGACCUUACUAUUAUCUUAAUUAUCUAAAGUGGUUUUUAUUCGAUUUUGUGAUUUUAUGGAAAAUGGGUUAAAUGGUAAAUCUUUGUGUUUUGUAAUUAAAAUGUGAUUUAAUGAAAUGAUUUUAUAACAUUGUCUUGAAAUGAAAUGAUGGUUUGAAAAUAGAGUAAUUGGAGAUCGUUUUCAAGUGUUGUAAAUUCAUGGUUUGAAUCGAAUGGCUUAUGACAAUAUUUGCAUGAAUAGCUGAAUUAGUAUUUGUGUUGAAAUAUAUGAACUGUGUAUUUAGCCUUGAGAGGCUGGAUUGUGAUAUAAUUGCCAUGUCAUGCGGUUGAGAUUUUAUUGAAUUGGUGGGUUUAGUUUGCUGCAGUGGGCGGGUUCCGUGGACCAGCCUAUUAGAGGGGCACAGUAACCCCGUUAUAUUCUUACCUCGGUCAGAGAGGCGUGUAAGGUAACUCCCAAGGUACAUCUUUAAAGUUCACUUCAUGUCAAACCACCAUGUGAGGGUGAACUCAGCCAAUGCCAAGGAACGACUAUGUUUUCAAAAUAAAAAUAUGAUUUAUGCGUACAUGACUUUUUAACAACCUUGGCAGACUCGGUUGGGAUAGCCUCAAGCCAAGGUACCCCUAACAACCGAGCAUGAGAAUGAUUUUGGCACGAGCCAAAGUUUUAAAAAAUUCAUAAGCCAUGUUGAUACUCAAUUUAUAUGAAUUGAUUUUAUUUGGUUGAAAAAAGUUGAAAGGUGAUGAAUCAUAGUAUGAUGAUCUAUUUUAAUCUGUCUCCAUUUACUCAGCUUUAGAUAUUUUAGAUGGUAUUUGUUUACUCACUGGGAUUAUAUAAUCUCACCACCCUCCUUUCCACCCAUUUCAGGCUCAGGAUAGUCGGUAGAUAGCUCACUUUGUUGAGGCCUACAGUUAGACUUACAUCCUCAAAAAUUGUAGGUUUACCGCUUUUGAUACUUUAGUCGUUCGUGAGCCCACGUGUCACUGUAAAUUAAAUUUUAUACUUUGGUUAUCUGUAUUACAAUAUGUAUGAAUUUAUUUAGCUUUUAC
rnacentral:lncRNA from 1 species